rnacentral:misc_RNA from 1 species
UCUAACCCCAAUGGCAACAAGUCAUCGUGAGCGUCAAUUGACUGUUCAAAAGAUGCUUGACCUAGUUCUUGAUCAAACUUCCAAGGGUUAAUACCAACUUUUCGGUCUAUGCUACCACCUAUAUAGCUGAAAAUUGAUGGUGAGUUCUCCUUUUUGACUUUCUUAAAUGCUGGGCAUAUUCCUUCACUUAUAUGACGAAGCAAAUGAGUUGUUCCACUUCGGGUUGAAGAAGUGAAAAUUUUGUGGCAAUGAUUACACUUGCAUUUGUCACAAGUUCCAUCCUCCUUUAUUAGCUUUGUAAAGUGUUGCCAAACUCUAGAUCUUAAUCUUCCUUCUCUUUUUCGCUUCUCGCCUGUGCUUGCUUCAGUCAGACUGGUUAGAUCUACAAUACCCUCAGGAAUAGCAUCUGCCAUCGGCGGAGUGAGAGGUAAAUCAACCGGAGUAAAUUGAAGGCGGCGUUGGUCAACGGCGACGGGCGGCGAACUGUGAGGGUUUGGA